rnacentral:misc_RNA from 1 species
GGAAGGAUCAUUACUGAACUGUCGACACGAGUUGUUGCUGGUCCCUCACAUGGGGGCAUGUGCACGCUCUGUUUACACAUCCACUCACACCUGUGCACGCUCUGUGGUUCUGGGGCAUGGGGGACUCUGUCCCUCUUGCCCUGGUUCUACAUCUUUACACACACACUGUAAUAAAGUCUUAUGGAAUGUAUGCCGCGUUUAACGCAAUACAAUACAACUUUCAGCAACGGAUCUCUUGGCUCUCGCAUCGAUGAAGAACGCAGCGAAAUGCGAUAAGUAAUGUGAAUUGCAGAAUUCAGUGAAUCAUCGAAUCUUUGAACGCACCUUGCGCCCUUUGGCUAUUCUGAAGGGCAUGCCUGUUUGAGUAUCAUGAACACCUCAACUCUUGUGGUUUGCCACAAUGAGCUUGGACGUUGGGGGUCUUGCUGGCCUAUGGUCGGCUCCUCUCAAAUCAAUCAGCUUGCCAGUGUUUGGUGGCAUCACGGGUGUGAUAACUAUCUACGCUUGUGGUUUCCCACCAGGUAACCUUCAGUGAUGGAGGUUCGCUGGGGCUCAUAAAUGUCUCUCCACAGCGAGGACAGCUUUUUGAACGUUUGAUCUCAAAUCAGGUAGGACUACCCGCUGAACUUAAGCAUAUCAAUAAGCGGAGGAAAAGAAACUAACAAGGAUUCCCCUAGUAACUGCGAGUGAAGCG